UACAGAGGUGGCAAGCGUUGUUCGGAAUUACUGGGCGUAAAGGGCGCGUAGGCGGUCUCGUAAGUCCUGUGUGAAAUCCCCCGGCUCAACUGGGGAACUGCACAGGAAACUGCUUGACUUGAGUUCGGGAGAGGGAAGCGGAAUUCCGGGUGUAGCGGUGAAAUGCGUAGAUAUCCGGAGGAACACCGGUGGCGAAGGCGGCUUCCUGGACCGACACUGACGCUGAGGCGCGAAAGCCAGGGGAGCAAACGGG
rnacentral:rRNA from 1 species